rnacentral:tRNA from 1 species
GCGGGUGUGACUGAGAGGCAAGGCGCCGGCCUGCAAAGCCGUUUACACGGGUUCGAUUCCCGUCACUCGCU